AGCUCCAAUAGCGUAUAUUAACGUUGUUGUUGUUAAAACGCUCGUAGUUUUCUCUCUUCUGUCUUCGGGCGGUUCGCUUUUUUGAGUGCUACUGCUCUAUAGGCCGUGGUUUUGCCAGAGGUCUCGGGGUGCUCUUAACCGAGUGUCCUGCGAUGCUGGCAGGUUUACUUUGAAAAAAUUAGAGUGCUCAAAGCAGGCUUUUACGCCUGAAUAUUCGUGCAUGGAAUAAUAGAAUAGGAAGUCGUUUCUAUUUUGUUGGUUUUCGGAAAUCGACUUAAUGAUUAAUAGGGACAGUCGGGGGCAUUUGUAUUCAAACGACAGAGGUGAAAUUCUUGGACCGUUUGAAGACAAACUACUGCGAAAGCAUUUGCCAAGAAUGUUUUCA
rnacentral:rRNA from 1 species